GUGCAUACCAGUAGACCUCAUCUGGCUUUAUCUCAUAGCCAGGUGAGGGGGACAGAGUAUGCAAAAGGAAAUGUGGAGUGAUUUGCCAGAUACAGACUGCCAAUUUGAUGGCUUGGCUGAACUGCAUUACUUCCAUAGAC
ensembl:snoRNA